UAAAGUAGCAAUACUUUGGUGGCGACCGGCGCACGGGUGAGUAACGCGUAUGCAACCCAUCUAUCAGAGGGGAAUAACCCGGCGAAAGUCGGACUAAUACCGCAUAAAACAGGGACACCGCAUGGUGAUAUUUGUUAAAGAAAUUCGCUGAUAGAUGGGCAUGCGUUCCAUUAGGUAGUUGGUGAGGUAACGGCUCACCAAGCCGACGAUGGAUAGGGGAACUGAGAGGUUGGUCCUCCACACUGGUACUGAGACACGGACCAGACUCCUACGGGAGGCAGCAGUGAGGAAUAUUGGUCAAUGGGCGAGAGCCUGAACCAGCCAAGUCGCGUGAAGGAAGAAGGAUCUAUGGUUCGUAAACUUCUUUUGCAGGGGAAUAAAGUGCAGGACGUGUCCUGUUUUGUAUGUACCCUGAGAAUAAGGAUCGGCUAACUCCGUGCCAGCAGCCGCGGUAAUACGGAGGAUCCGAGCGUUAUCCGGAUUUAUUGGGUUUAAAGGGUGCGUAGGUGGUUUGAUAAGUCAGCGGUGAAAGUUUGCAGCUUAACUGUAAAAAUGCCGUUGAAACUGUCGGACUUGAGUGUAAAUGAGGUAGGCGGAAUGCGUGGUGUAGCGGUGAAAUGCUUAGAUAUCACGAAGAACUCCGAUUG
rnacentral:rRNA from 1 species